rnacentral:rRNA from 1 species
AGCGAACGUUGGCGGCGCGCCUAACACAUGCAAGUCGAACGCGAAAGGACCUCGGUCCGAGUAGAGUGGCGCACGGGUGAGUAACACGUGAGUAAUCUGCCCUUUAGCCUGGGAUAACACGCCGAAAGGCGUGCUAAUACCGGAUGAGACCACGGAAUCUUCGGAGACUGUGAGAAAAGGCGGGUCCGCAAGGACCUGUCACUAGAGGAUGAGCUCGCGGCCUANCAGCUAGUUGCGGGUAAUGGCCCACCAAGGCUAAGACGGUAGCUGGUCUGAGAGGAUGAUCAGCC